rnacentral:rRNA from 1 species
ACGAUAUGCUUUGGGGAGCUGUAAGUAAGCUUUGAUCCAGAGAUUUCCGAAUGGGGAAACCCAGCAUGAGUUAUGUCAUGUUAUCGAUAUGUGAAUACAUAGCAUAUCAGAAGGCACACCCGGAGAACUGAAACAUCUUAGUACCCGGAGGAAGAGAAAGAAAAUUCGAUUCCCUUAGUAGCGGCGAGCGAAACGGGAAGAGCCCAAACCAACAAGCUUGCUUGUUGGGGUUGUAGGACACUCUAUACGGAGUUACAAAGGACGACAUUAGACGAAUCAUCUGGAAAGAUGAAUCAAAGAAGGUAAUAAUCCUGUAGUCGAAAAUGUUGUCUCUCUUGAGUGGAUCCUGAGUACGACGGAGCACGUGAAAUUCCGUCGGAAUCUGGGAGGACCAUCUCCUAAGGCUAAAUACUCUCUAGUGACCGAUAGUGAACCAGUACCGUGAGGGAAAGGUGAAAAGCACCCCGGAAGGGGAGUGAAAUAGAACCUGAAACCGUGUGCUUACAAGUAGUCAGAGCCCGUUAAUGGGUGAUGGCGUGCCUUUUGUAGAAUGAACCGGCGAGUUACGAUUUGAUGCAAGGUUAAGCAGUAAAUGUGGAGCCGUAGCGAAAGCGAGUCUGAAUAGGGCGUUUAGUAUUUGGUCGUAGACCCGAAACCAGGUGAUCUACCCUUGGUCAGGUUGAAGUUCAGGUAACACUGAAUGGAGGACCGAACCGACUUACGUUGAAAAGUGAGCGGAUGAACUGAGGGUAGCGGAGAAAUUCCAAUCGAACCUGGAGAUAGCUGGUUCUCUCCGAAAUAGCUUUAGGGCUAGCCUCAAGUGAUGAUUAUUGGAGGUAGAGCACUGUUUGGACGAGGGGCCCCUCUCGGGUUACCGAAUUCAGACAAACUCCGAAUGCCAAUUAAUUUAACUUGGGAGUCAGAACAUGGGUGAUAAGGUCCGUGUUCGAAAGGGAAACAGCCCAGACCACCAGCUAAGGUCCCAAAAUAUAUGUUAAGUGGAAAAGGAUGUGGCGUUGCCCAGACAACUAGGAUGUUGGCUUAGAAGCAGCCAUCAUUUAAAGAGUGCGUAAUAGCUCACUAGUCGAGUGACACUGCGCCGAAAAUGUACCGGGGCUAAACAUAUUACCGAAGCUGUGGAUUGUCCUUUGGACAAUGGUAGGAGAGCGUUCUAAGGGCGUUGAAGCAUGAUCGUAAGGACAUGUGGAGCGCUUAGAAGUGAGAAUGCCGGUGUGAGUAGCGAAAGACGGGUGAGAAUCCCGUCCACCGAUUGACUAAGGUUUCCAGAGGAAGGCUCGUCCGCUCUGGGUUAGUCGGGUCCUAAGCUGAGGCCGACAGGCGUAGGCGAUGGAUAACAGGUUGAUAUUCCUGUACCACCUAUAAUCGUUUUAAUCGAUGGGGGGACGCAGUAGGAUAGGCGAAGCGUGCGAUUGGAUUGCACGUCUAAGCAGUAAGGCUGAGUAUUAGGCAAAUCCGGUACUCGUUAAGGCUGAGCUGUGAUGGGGAGAAGACAUUGUGUCUUCGAGUCGUUGAUUUCACACUGCCGAGAAAAGCCUCUAGAUAGAAAAUAGGUGCCCGUACCGCAAACCGACACAGGUAGUCAAGAUGAGAAUUCUAAGGUGAGCGAGCGAACUCUCGUUAAGGAACUCGGCAAAAUGACCCCGUAACUUCGGGAGAAGGGGUGCUCUUUAGGGUUAACGCCCAGAAGAGCCGCAGUGAAUAGGCCCAAGCGACUGUUUAUCAAAAACACAGGUCUCUGCUAAACCGUAAGGUGAUGUAUAGGGGCUGACGCCUGCCCGGUGCUGGAAGGUUAAGAGGAGUGGUUAGCUUCUGCGAAGCUACGAAUCGAAGCCCCAGUAAACGGCGGCCGUAACUAUAACGGUCCUAAGGUAGCGAAAUUCCUUGUCGGGUAAGUUCCGACCCGCACGAAAGGCGUAACGAUUUGGGCACUGUCUCAACGAGAGACUCGGUGAAAUCAUAGUACCUGUGAAGAUGCAGGUUACCCGCGACAGGACGGAGAGACCCCGUGGAGCUUUACUGUAGCCUGAUAUUGAAAUUCGGCACAGCUUGUACAGGAUAGGUAGGAGCCUUUGAAACGUGAGCGCUAGCUUACGUGGAGGCGCUGGUGGGAUACUACCCUAGCUGUGUUGGCUUUCUAACCCGCACCACUUAUCGUGGUGGGAGACAGUGUCAGGCGGGCAGUUUGACUGGGGCGGUCGCCUCCUAAAAGGUAACGGAGGCGCUCAAAGGUUCCCUCAGAAUGGUUGGAAAUCAUUCAUAGAGUGUAAAGGCAUAAGGGAGCUUGACUGCGAGACCUACAAGUCGAGCAGGGUCGAAAGACGGACUUAGUGAUCCGGUGGUUCCGCAUGGAAGGGCCAUCGCUCAACGGAUAAAAGCUACCCCGGGGAUAACAGGCUUAUCUCCCCCAAGAGUUCACAUCGACGGGGAGGUUUGGCACCUCGAUGUCGGCUCAUCGCAUCCUGGGGCUGUAGUCGGUCCCAAGGGUUGGGCUGUUCGCCCAUUAAAGCGGUACGCGAGCUGGGUUCAGAACGUCGUGAGACAGUUCGGUCCCUAUCCGUCGUGGGCGUAGGAAAUUUGAGAGGAGCUGUCCUUAGUACGAGAGGACCGGGAUGGACAUACCUCUGGUGUACCAGUUGUCGUGCCAACGGCAUAGCUGGGUAGCUAUGUGUGGACGGGAUAAGUGCUGAAAGCAUCUAAGCAUGAAGCCCCCCUCAAGAUGAGAUUUCCCAACUUCGGUUAUAAGAUCCCUCAAAGAUGAUGAGGUUAAUAGGUUCGAGGUGGAAGCAUGGUGACAUGUGGAGCUGACGAAUACUAAUCGAUCGAAGACUUAAUCAA